GCCAGCGAGCUGCCAGGCGGCGAGAACGCGCUGGGGGAACCCUUGGUCCGCUCUGCGCGUCGCUCUAGGAUCCCCGAAAAGGAGCACGGGCGCGAAAGCGGCCAGGCUGGGCCAGGAUCUAGAAAGACUGCCUGGCGCAGGCUCCCUGCCCCCGCGGGCCUGCUGUCAUGGACUCGUGGAGAGCUCGCUUCCCGCGCGGACCCUUCCUGCAGGGGUCCACGUCCAGGCACCGGCGGCUCGGACACCCCACCCCCGGCCGGGCACCUGCCCUGGGUGCCCCUUAACCCGGGCGGUAGCUCGUUAAGAUGGCGAAGUGUCCGGUCCGGAACACGCGAAACCCCAAAUCCCGCCUGCCCGACCUCCUGACCCCCGGCCCCACGGGACGACAGACUGGGCCUCCCGACGCGCAGCGCGCUGCCGGGACACCGGUGCGUGCGAAACGGAGGACCUUUGUAACGCCACGUGUUUGCUCUUUUUGAAAAAACAAGAAUAAAUGUGUUAAACUGUCUGAAAAGCUUGCCGCCUAAAAGAUGUCUGGGUGACUUAGAUGCUAGGAUCAGUUUGUUUUCAAUGUAAAUGGACCAGCCCGGACUCCGUACGGCACUAGCAGGGGACUGAAAGCGUCUUCAGGUACUGCUGGUGGGCGGUGAUGCGCUACAGGCCGAUCAGACAGUUUUGUGUCUUUUGGAACUUGACACUGCACCACGGUAAUGCUGAACUGCACCAAUAUUACAGAUCACAGCGCAUCAUCUUCCUUCAACAUGAUUUAACACAGUUGACUUAAUAUGGUGGAUAAAUGUAGAAUCACAAAUUACCAUACCCCACCUCAGGCUUCUACUUCGUAAUUUUGAGCAGGUUGUUUAACCUCUUUGUACCUCAGCUUCUUCAUUACAAAAAUAGGGGUACUAGCCAGGCGGGGUGGCUCGCGCCUGUAAUCCCAGCACUUGGGGAGGCCGAGGCAGCCGGAUCACUUGAGGUCAGAAGUUUCAGACCAGCCUGGUCAACAUGGGUGAAACGCCGGCUCUACCAAAAAUAUAAAAACUUAGCUGAGUGUGGUAGCGCAUGACUGUAAUCCCAGCAACUCAGGAGGCUGAGGCAGAGAAUCGCUUGAACCUGGGAGGCGGAGGUUGCAGUGAGCUGAGAUCGUACCACUGCACUCCAGCUUGGGCGACAGAGCGAGACUCUGCCUUAAAAAUAAAUAAAUAAUUUUUUUAAAAAAUAGGGGUACUAAUAUCUACCUUAAAGGAUGAGGGUUAAAUUAAGUACACACAUAAGCCCUAGCGCAGUGGCUUAUGCCUGUAAUCUCAACACUUUGGGAGUCUGUGGCGGGAGGAUCACUUGAGCCCAGGAGUUUGAGACUAGUCUGGGCAACAGAGACAUGUCUCUAUAGUUGUGUUUGGUUUUGUUUUUACCAGGUGUGGUGGUGUGCACCUGCAGUCCCAGCUACUAGGGAGGCUGAGGUGGGAGGACUGCCUGAGCCCAGGAGGUCGAGGCUGCAGUGAGCCAUGAUUGUGCCACUGCACUCCAGCCUGGGCAACACAGCAAGACCUUGUCUCAAAAACAAACAAAAAGCAUACUCAUAAAGUGCUCGGCUCCUAUAUGAUUCAAUAUGUGGUGGUGGAUUCUUGAAUCCUUUCCUGACUCAGAUCUCAUACGAUUUUCUGAACUUUUGGAGAAUCCUUGCCUCUCUGCAUUUGCAAACCGUCAAAGGCACUCCCUUCUGCCACCACACAAAGCAUUUGAUUUUAAACUUGACUAUGUCCUUCUGUUCCAACUUUAGGUAAAUUAAUCUUGGUCAGGGUUCUCUGAACAGCCCUUUAGUCACUAUGCCAUUGAAUACAUGGCCCUACAGCUGGAAACUGGGGUAGAACAGUGAUUGCAGGCAUCCAUCAUGUGACAGCGAGGCCCCAAAGAAGGGGAGAGAAUGCCACCACCACCAGUUUCAGAGAAUGCCUAUACACUGAGGGGACUGGUGUGUGGGAGAGAAGUUACUUGGAGAGCUACCAAGACAGCCUGAGCUACAGGAUCCUGGUCUACCACUGGUGGAUUCCCACCACUCUGGUUCUAAAAUAACUUCCUAAACUUGUGCUUCACAUACAGAAUAAAGCAUCUGUAAUUCCA